ensembl:antisense Gm11337 predicted gene 11337
AAAAAGACCAUCCAUGUUUCCCCAUCAUUGAGGAUUACAGCAAAACCAUCAGGGGAAUUUGGGUUGUAGCGUUGCCUGAGACUCCAUGGUAAAGAAACCCUACAGGUUGAUGGAGGAAACAACUAACAGGACUCUGGUAACUGACCUUCACCAGGAUACUCAUCUGGGGUCCACAAAACUUUCUGAGUGGCUCAGACCAAGUUCCACUUCUGGCUAACUGUUCUUGUCAACUGAAGUAUGUCAACCCAGGACAUGUUUUUUGUGCUUACAAGCCCACCUUGGAGAAGGCUCAGGUCUAUACUGGAAUCCCAAACAUCUAAUGUAGUUGCUGGCUG